rnacentral:rRNA from 1 species
GAGACCUUAGGUUAGGCGGGCCUACCCGUUGAGUUUAAGCAUAUCAAUAAGCGGAGGAAAAG